CAAUUCUCUAAUCACAGAAAGAAAGAAUUGUAAGUUAUUUUUGAGUAAAGUAGCUGUUAAGCAUCAAGAAUUGUCUUCCAAGUAUCAUAUUUGAUGAAACCUACUUAGAAUAGUAUAAAUAUAAAAGGAGUACUGUGAGGGUUCUUUUUAAAAAUAACUAUCUUUUAAAAAGACAGAUAAACCAGAUUCCUGGUCAGUCGUAGAAAUUUAUUCAUUUUCAACAAAACACUCCAAACUACUAAAUUAUAUUUGUUAUCUAUCACAUUUGAUAUGUCAGAACUACCUUUUGAAAGUUAAGAUAAUUUACUCACUGACAUGAGCAGAACCAGGAGAAUAUUGUGUAAAUAUAUGUGAUAAUCUAUGAUGGACUAGGCUCUUCUCAACAAUGUGAUGAUUCAAGAAAAUUCCAGUAAUACUUGUAAUGGAAAAUGCCAUCUGAAUCCAGAGAGAGAAGCAUGGAGACUGAAUGUGGAAUGAAGCAUAGUAUUUUAAUUAUUAUUUUUUUUUCUUGUAGUCUUUUCCCUUUUGAUCUGAUUUUUCUCACACAUGACAAAUAUGGAAAUAUGUUUACAAGGACUGUGCAUAUUUAACUUAGAUUGCUUGCUAUCUUGAGAAGGGGGGAAGGAGAGAGAAAAAUUUGGAACAUACUAUCUUAUAAAAUAAAUAUGUAAAAUGAUCUUUACAUGUAUUGGGGAAAAAAAGCUUACUCACAUGCAAAGGCAAUAGUAAGGUUUGAAAAAGACUUACAUCUAAGUGUUUCUGAUUGAUCUCAUAGAUGAUUUGUAAAUGUCGUGGGAGAAGCUUCUUCACAAGUUCCACUGGCCAGCACUCCAAUGCUUCUGGGAGGACAGUAUGAAAAACACAAUGUGAGAAAAAAAAAAGUUCAAGUUGUAUCAUCUAGGAAGACAUCAAUCAUUUUUUAAAUUGAAAGCUAUUGACCCCAAAAUAUUUAUUUGAAAAUCUGGGUUGGAAAAGAUGAAGAAUGGAGAAGAUGAAUUCUCUCAGGAGAGAAGAGUAUUGGAAUGAUCAACUUCUCUUUAUUUUUUCUAUAACAUUUGACCUUGGCUUAUACCCCAAAGAGAUCCUAAAGAAGGAGAAGGAACCUGUAUGUGCCAAAAUGUUUGUGGCAGCCCUGCUUGUAGUGUCUAGAAGCUGGAAAAUGAAUGGAUGCCCAUCAAUUGGAGAAUGGUUGAGUAAAUUGUGGCAUAUGAACGUUAUGGAAUAUUAUUGUUCUGUAAGGAAUGACCAUCAGGAUGAAUACAGAGAGGACUGGCAAGACUUACAUGAACUGAUGCUAAGUGAAAUGAGCAGAACCAGGAGAUCAUUAUAUCCCUCAACAAUGAUACUAUUUGAGGAUGUAUUCUGAUGGAAGUGGAUCCCUCUGUUAAAGAGAGCUAAUUCCGUUUCAGUUGAUCAAGGAUGGACAGAAACAGCUACACCCAAAGAAAGAACACUGGGGAAUGAAUAUAAACUGCUUGCAUUUUUAUUUUUCUUCCCAGGUUAUUUAUACCUUCUGAAUCCAAUUCUCCCUGUGCAACAAGAAAACUGUUCAGUUCUACACACAUAUAUUGUAUCUAGGAUAUACUGUAACCUAUUCAACAUGUAAAGGACUGUUUGACAUCUGGAGGAGGGGGUGGAGGGAGGGAGGGGAAAAAUCGGAACAGAAGUGAGUGCAAGGAAUAAUGCUGUAAAAAAUUACCCUGUCAUGGGUUCUAUCAAUAAAGUUAUUAAAAAAAAUAAAACAACAUUUGACCUUGAUGACAGUAUUUUCUUAAUGAAUAUUCUAUCUUAUACUGACUUGAGAAUCACUAUAAAGUCUUGAUUUUUUUUCUUCUUUCUAGAAGUUUCUUCUCUCAUUCCUUCACAGAUUCUUCAUUCUCUUCCUGAUCCCUUAAUGUAGGUAUUUCUCAAAGAUCUCUCCAUAGACCUUUAAUGAACACUUUCUAUUGUCACUGUGACUCACUUUCUUAGGCUCAUCCUCAUACAGAUGAUUUGCAAAUCUGUAUCUCUAGUCCUCACCAUUUACAGACCUUUACUUUCCACUGCCUACAGGAUAUCUUUACUUAGAUGCCCCACUAAUGAAUGACUCUUCAACCUCAACCAUGCUAAUGUCCAAUAUCCAAAUCAAAGUAAUUUUCUUUCCUCCUAAUCCUAUUCCUUCUUCUGACUUCACUGUAUAUCUCAUUCAUUACUUUACUGUUAUCUUUGAUACUUGCUCCCCAAUAUAUUUCUACUUUUUCUUGAUUUAAAUUCUACAAGAUUUUCCAUCUUUCCCUUCAUCUUUAUUUUUAACUUGUGUUGUCAUACUUCAAACUUUCAUAAACAGCUGCUCACAUUACUGCAAUAACUUCCUAGCAGAUGUUUCUAUCUCUUUUCUUUCUUCCCUUUAACCCAUCCUUUACACUGCUGCUAAAAUAAUAUUCUCACACAUGGAUCUGGACAUUACUCCUUUGCUCCAAAAUCUUUAGGUUAUUCCCUAUUGUCUUAGAAUUUAAGUGGAAAUUCUUUUACUUGACAUUCAAGUCCUUUGUCAAUCUAUCUUAGAUGACAGAUUUAAUUAUCUCAUUAUCUCCCUCUAAACAUUUUUCUUCCUAAUUAUCUAUUUUCAUGUCUAUUUACACCUUAGCUCAAGGUAUUCCCAUAGUUAAUCAUUCCUUUUUUGCCUUCUUCACCUAUUUAAUUUUCACAUAUCUUUUAAAAUGCAACUACAAAAUACCUCAGAGUUUCAUUUCUCUGAUUGGUAAGAUUUUCCUCAGAUAUUAGUCAGUUCCUUGUUUUUGUUUUUAACUUUUUAAUGUAUUAAGUAAUACUGUAUUUCACAGGCAUGAAUUGAUGUUUUAUAUUCCUACUAGAUAAUAGCUUCCAUUAAAUUUAUUAGACUUAUUUCCAUUAGAUUCCAUUAGAUUUAUUUCCAAUGUAUCUUUCCCAAGCACCUAACACAGUGCUUGGCACAGAAUGUACAGUUAAUAAAUGCUUGUAAAUUGGGUGAUUUACAUUUUACUAGU